rnacentral:rRNA from 1 species
CGGAAAACUGGGGAUAAUACCCUAUAGACUAUGGAUGCUGGAAUGCUCGGUAGCCGAAAGGUCCGCCGCGGUAGGAGGGGUCUGCGGCCGAUUAGGUUGUUGUUGGGGUAACGGCCCAACAAGCCUGUAAUCGGUACGGGUUGUGGGAGCAAGAGCCCGGAGAUGGAUUCUGAGACACGAAUCCAGGCCCUACGGGGCGCAGCAGGCGCGAAAACUUUACAAUGCGGGAAACCGUGAUAAGGGAACUCUGAGUGCCCGUAAAAUCGGGCUGUCCAUCAGUUUAAAUAACUGGUGAAGAACGGGCCGUGCAAGACCGGUGCCAGCCGCCGCGAACA